GACAGAGGGUGCGAACGUUGCUCGGAAUUACUGGGCGUAAAGCGCGUGUAGGCGGGUGAUCAAGUCAGGUGUGAAAUCCCCAGGCUCAACCUGGGAACUGCACUUGAAACUGGUUGCCUUGAGUGCUGGAGAGGGAAGCGGAAUUCCUGGUGUAGAGGUGAAAUUCGUAGAUAUCAGGAGGAACACCGGUGGCGGAAGGCGGC
rnacentral:rRNA from 1 species